UACGUAGGGUGCGAGCGUUGUCCGGAAUUAUUGGGCGUAAAGAGCUCGUAGGCGGUCUGUCGCGUCGGCUGUGAAAACUCAGGGCUCAACCCUGAGCCUGCAGUCGAUACGGGCAGACUAGAGUUCGGUAGGGGAGACUGGAAUUCCUGGUGUAGCGGUGGAAUGCGCAGAUAUCAGGAGGAACACCAAUAGCGAAGGCAGCUUGCUGGGACGGUACUGACGCUAAGGCGCGAAAGCGUGGGGAGCGAACAGG
rnacentral:rRNA from 1 species